UACGAAGGUGGCAAGCGUUGUUCGGAAUUACUGGGCGUAAAGCGUGCGCAGGCGGUCUAUUAAGACAGGUGUGAAAUCCCCGGGCUUAACCUGGGAACUGCGCUUGUAACUGAUAGGCUUGAGUGUGGCAGAGGGGGGUGGAAUUCCAGGUGUAGCAGUGAAAUGCGUAGAUAUCUGGAGGAACACCGAUGGCGAAGGCAGCCCCCUGGGCUAACACUGACGCUCAUGCACGAAAGCGUGGGGAGCAAACAGG
rnacentral:rRNA from 1 species